rfam:Stegodyphus mimosarum contig122931, whole genome shotgun sequence.
GCCUUCGUGGUGUAGUGGUCAGCAAGCUCGGAGUGUAUUCGAGAGGUCCGUGGUUCGAAUCUCGGCGAGGGCA